rnacentral:rRNA from 1 species
GGUUAAGAAAGUUAAAGUCUGUACCUUUUGUAUCAGGGAGAUUCAAAAAUAUUAAGAAAGAGUAUCUCGAUUCAAACAAAUCUUUUAGUUUUGCUGGUUUAGUUGCAAUUAAAUCUAGGAUAUUUUAAGAGGUGAAAAAUGUUCGAUGUUUGUGGUAUCUAGUUGCUUUAAUAAAAGGUGGUUAAGUUCCUUUAAAUCUAAAUUGAAUUAACUUUAAUAAAGCUAGGCUUUAGAAUAGCUAUGUUUAUAAACUGUUUUAAGUAAUUUUAAACGAAUGUGAGGGUUAGACUUUACAGGCUAUGGUGUUCAACGUUAAAAACUAUAAAUAAUGAAUUUAUUGAAUAAUAAAUAGAAAGUAUCAAAUAACUCAAGUUAAGUUGGACAGUUUAACAAAAACAUUUCCACUAGCUGAAUAAGAGGUAAGACCUGCCCGGUGUGCAAUUAACGGCUGCGGUAUUUUGACUGUGCUAAGGUAGCAUAAUCAUUUGUUUCUUAAUUGGUAACUGGCAUGAAAGGUUGAACCAAUUUUACCGGUUUGUGUGCUUUUUUAGGAAAUUUAAGUCAAGGUAAGAAUUCUUUGAUCUCCUAGGGGACGAUAAGACCCUAGAAGCUUUAUACGUUGUAUAACUUUUAAUGAUAGAAAUUACGGUAUUUGACUGGGGCGGUAUGAAUAUUUAAACUAUUUUUAGUGUAAUUUGAUCCUUUAGAUAAAGAAAAAUUGGUUAAGUUACUCUAGGGGUAACAGUGCUAUAAUUUUGGAGAGACCUUAUCGAUAAAAUUGUUUGCAACCUCGAUGUUGAAUUAGAAUGUCUAAAUGAAGCAUAAAGUAUAAAAGAGGGUUUGUUCAACCUUUAAAG